UAAAAUUAUUAUACCACCCUGAACGCGCCCAAUCUCGUCUGAUCUCGGAAGCUAAGCAGGGUCGGGCCUGGUUAGUACUUGGAUGGGGAGACCACCUGGGAAUACCGGGUGCUGUAG
rnacentral:rRNA from 1 species